UACGUAGGGGGCCAGCGUUGUCCGGAAUCAUUGGGCGUAAAGCGCGCGUAGGCGGCCAGUCAAGUCCGGUGUGAAAGUCACAGGCUCAACCUGUGAAUGCCGCUGGAAACUGUCUGGCUAGAGUCCGGAAGGGGCGAGUGGAAUUCCUGGUGUAGCGGUGAAAUGCGCAGAUAUCAGGAGGAACACCUAUGGCGAAGGCAGCUCGCUGGGACGGUACUGACGCUGAGGCGCGAAAGCGUGGGGAGCAAACAGG
rnacentral:rRNA from 1 species